AAGGAACCACCUGGGUUCCGUUAGGGCUGGCUGGGAAAAAAGAUAUGAUGGAAAGACGCGGGGAGACGUCUCAGUGGUCUACUAUGGUUGCUCCUGGGCUGGAGAAGAUCAGGACCUAUUCUUACUAUCCAUCGACUGAUUCCAUCCAUCGCUACCCAUCUGCCACCCAUCUGUAACCAUCUUUCUUGCUCUGAAAAUAAUACGCUACAGUACUUUCAAACUACUCGAUAAUACAUAGCGUGGAUUUUCC